GGAGAAAAAUUCUGCUUUGGUCUGGGGCCAUCUUCUUGCUUCUGCUCCAAAUUUGAGACCCUCACGCCUUCACAUCUGAGACAGAGCUGCCAACAGCCUCAGCAGCAUCAACGCAGGAUGUUCACACACACACACACACACACACACAAACACAUGUGUGUGAGCCUCAUGCAUCUUACUUGGAAACAAUGCAAAUGGGUUCCACUGGGAAGUCAAAACCACUAUGAGUAUCAUGAUAUAAAGAAUCUAUUAUAGGAAGACGUUACACAAAUGGGGAGAAGUUGGAGAGAAGUCCAAAAGGACGAGUUGAAAGAUCAGAUAGAAACCACCAGCCUUCUGAUACACUAUACAAGAGGACAAAUGAUAACUUACAGGAAAACCUGGAAGCUAAGCACGUCCAGAUGCUGAAGUUAAAUUACUAAGGAGAGCCAACAGAAAGUCCAGCUUGGGGUAGCUGCCGGUCAGCAGGACCAGCAUUUGGGAAGAAGAGCUGGACCCAUGGUGGGGGAUGAAGCAAGGACAUGGCAGAAUCCAUUGGCAUCUCUGCAUCUAACUAUGAAAACCUUCAGGGCAUGAUGGCUACAGCUUCCCCUACACCUUUCAAAAACCUCGUGUGAAUUUCUCUUUUGGUCAGCUUCCAUCUAGAACCAUAAGUGGGAGAUUCUGGGAAAAUCCUUCCAAACUAGCCAAGUUGACAAGUGAUCAAUACAGCCCCCCACCACAAUCAUUCUCUGUUUAAGGUCACACGCUUUGGGUGGGUGCUUCAUCACUGUGAUUCCAGACGUGGAGUAUAAGAUGGAUGCCUGGUCAAACAGCCUAUCCAAUUCCUUGAGCCGCAGUGAUUGGUCAGGGAUGUUACGAGCUGCAAGCUGGUCCUAUCAGAGUCAGUCUUAGGAUGCAAUUGUGAGCUUCCUGGAAUAUAAACUCUUUUCUUCUGGAUGUGAGUCUGGAAAAAUGUACGCUGAAACUAUUGUGGCAUCUGCAAUUUGUAUAUACACAUAUAUACACAAUGGAAUAUUACUCAGCCAUGAAAAAGAAGGAAACAACACCAUUUGCAACAGCAUAGAUGGACCUGUAGAUCAUCAUACUAAACGAAGUGAGAAAGUCUUCAAAUAUAAGAUUCAUGUCGUCUUUGAAGAUGAUCUUAAAGUGAUUUGUUCAUAUUAGGUAACAAUAUUUGUUACCUAAUUUGUUCAAAUUAGGUAACUCUACUUUGUGGAGUGAAUGAAUAUGAAAAAAGGAAAAAUUAAAGUGAAUUAAGAAGUGGAUUUCACCUCAUAGAAAAAGGAAUACUCAGCAAGUCUUCUGUGUCUGGAAGGGGUGAAUUUCAAAUAUUACCGUUUCCGUAGGCUUUGAAGAAUUAAUUCAGUCACAAGACCCCAGUAUCCACCCCAGUUCUACUUGGUCCUUUGCAAAUGAAGUUAUUCUGAGAACAGAAACAUUUUGUUUUGUUACUGGAGAUUUUCUCCUCAAGGGUGGCUGUCAGAAUAAAUUGGGGUUAUGCUACAGCCACAACUCAAAAAUCUCAGGGGCUUAGAACAAUACAAAUAUACUUACUGUGCAUGUGACAUUUCCAAAGCAAAUUAGCAAUGGGACUUUGUUCUUUAUAGUCAAUCAGGAACCCAGGUAGAUGGAGGUCGCAUCUCAAAAUGUGAAUCCACCAUCACAGUGUAAAGAAGGUAGCAUCAUGGCAAACCGUGCCCUGGUUCUUCAAGCUGCCACCUGGAAGUGAUGCACAUCCUAUGUUUCAUGGCCCGUGCAAGUCACAUGACCACAUCUCCCAUCAGGGAGGCAGGGAUGUGCAAUCUCACACUGUGCAAAUUCUGAGAAAUGAUGGAUGGGAUUUAUUUCCAUGUGAAAUCAUCCACAUGUACAUAAUUUUCAACAUCCCAGUAUGGACUCCCUUCUCUUGAGGUCUAUUUCUUAUACCUGUAUCUUAACCCUUUGCCCAUAAAUUGUUUCCCAGAACACAUGCUUCCUCUCACUCCAUACCCACAACUGAAAGAGUGAAAGAGAGAGAGAGAGAGAGAGCGCAGGAGAGAGGCUACCCACAGCUAAGCUACACUUAGCUACUUUCUUAUUCCUGUUCUGACCAUAUAAUAUAGCAGAUAAUUAUGGUGCAAGUGAUUUCCACUCCUCGUAGGUGAUCAUACUUGAGAUUCUAUUGAUUUUUUCACCUUGGGGAUGUAAAGAGAGCACCUUUUACCUAUUAGUAGGGGGUUAACAAGUUUCUGCAGAAUAAAAAUUCUUUGGACAUUUUAAUUGCUAUUUUCAGCAAAUACAAAGCAAAUUGGUACAUGUUCCCUGGGGUGAGUGGGGAACUCAAUAAAUUUAUUGAGUGGUGAGAAUAGAAUGAUUAAAACUAUAAAGUAAAUGCUUACAUUUGGAAAAGGGGAUCUUGUUCCACAAGUUCUGAGUAAUAAGAACUCUAAUUUCUUUUAGUUAUCAUGCAUGACACGAAAUAUAUAAUUUAUUGUGAAGUGGACUGCCCCAAAUAGGUCAUGUUGUUAUCUUUAUGGCAAAAUUUGAACUCUAGCAGAUACAAGCUCCAUGCUCAUUUUUGGCAUUAUUCUAACAUUAUUUUUGUUUUUAUUUAUUUGUUGGUUUAUUUACUUAUUUAUCUUUCUUUUUAAAAAAUUGUGGUAUAAUUGACAUAUAACAUUAUAUUAGUUUCAGGCAUACAAGAUAAAGAUUCAAUAUUUGUAUGUACUGCAAAAUGAUUACCACAAUAAUUCUAGUUGCCAUCCUUUACCAUAUAAAGUUACAACAAACUUUUUUUCCCUUGUGAUGAGAACUCUAAAAUGUACUCUCUUGGCAACUUUCAAAGUAUUAUUGACUAUAGUCACCAUGCUGUACAUUACAUCCCUAUGACUUAUUUAUUUUAAACCUGUAAGUUCUAACAUUUUUUAUUUUUAAAAGAAUAUUUUUGUUUGAUUUGUUUAUAGUAGAGAUGCUGUUCUAUAUAUUUUCUGUUCAAGUGUCACUUGUUUAUAAUAAAACCACUUAAAGUUCCACUGCUAAAUUCACACCUUUAGUAGGAAAAAAUCUGAAGUAACCUUGGUAAACACAAAUGGAAGUCAAAAACCACAGAGUAUUAUAUCCUCCAGGAAUAAAUUUAACACUGUGUAUUCCAAUCAGAAAUAAUGGGUCAUAUUUAACCAUGUCAAAAAUGACUAAGACUUCACUUGGAUAGCAAGCUAAUCCUUUGCAAUGUUACUCAAUUACAAGGAAUCUAUUUGUCUAACAGCAUGGGAAUGACUAAUUAAAUUAUGAUGUCAUUAUACAAAAGACUAUUAUUAUAUUUAUAAAGAAUUUAAACUCUGGGACAGUGGAAAAGGCAGGAAAAUGCAUACAUUGUCAAUUUAAACUAUUUAAAACAAUAUGCAAAGGAGAGAAAGACAACAAAUUAUAAAGAGCAUUAUCUUUGGAUGCUGAAAUUAGACGUUUACUAAUUAUUUUAAAUACUUUGGGACAAUAAAGUCCAGUCAUUUUAUAAUUAGAAAAACUUAAACUUUUUCUGUUUCAAAUCCCAAGAUUCUUUUUGUUAUUGUUGUUCGUUGGUUUUACCUGCACUAAUCAGAUAUUUUUGGAUUCAGUUCUGGGCUUUUGAACCAAAAGAAGAUCUUUAGAACAAGAAAGAAGAUAAUAGAAGAUAAACAUGAAGAUGAUUGAAGGUCUGGGAGAUAUGAAUCAAGAUUAUUAGGCCCAGCAGAGAGCUGACUGGGUGGCAUUUAAGUAGAUGAUAGAUUCCCACAUAGAACAUGAUGGUGAUCUAGGACAUGAGUCACUCAAUCAUCAUUUCUUAAAUGAUUUUUAAAAAUAAGUGAAUGAAUGGCCAAUAUGAAAAAGUAUUAAAACUAUGGAAAGAGAAAUCUACAUUUGGUAUAAGGUGACAUAAGUUUCUUUAAAAUAUAGAAAGUCUUGUAUUGGCUCCUUCCAGAAAGAGUUGAGGAGGCGUUAGAAAGUAAAAGGGAAAAUUAGGGUGCAAGUUAAGUAUGAGCUCACAAAGAUCUAAAUUCUGAUGUUCCAUGAGGAAUGGCCACAAAGACCCAACCCCAAGGAAUAAGGGUUCUACACCUGGCAAACUAGAUGUACAGCAAUAAGGUGAUUGAUUCUCAAACUCUGGAAUAUCAGUAUUUUUGGAUAAAAACCUUUUUUUACGAAGUUAAGCAUCACCAAUACAAAACACUUUUGUCUAGAGAAUGCUUGAGGUUAAAUGAUUAUAAUUUAUUAACACCUCUGGAGAGAAACGGAGCUUUGAAUACAUUCCUUUGAUCUACUAAUGUUGGAUCAAAAAUGACUGAUUAUUCAGUAUAUGUUGAGGAUCCACAGAGAGGUAAUUUUCUUUCUAAAGUCAUAUCAGCAAUGUUCAUGUCUUCACGGAGGGUACUGUUCACUCUGUGUACACACACACACAAACACACACACACACACAACCUAUCCUCAUUAUUUGCAGAUUCCGCUGUGCAAAUUUGCCUACUUGCUAAAAUUUACCUGUAACCCCUAGAUCAGUACUCGUGGCACUUUCACGGUCAUUUGUGGACAUACAAUUUCAGUGCACCGGAUGUGCACAUUCCCAGCAAAGGAUGAACAAAGCAACACUGCUUUCUUGUUUCAGCUCUCUUACUCUAAACACGUACCCUUUUUGUGGUCUAUUUAGUGCCACAUUUUUUACAAGUUGAUCUUUUGGUGAUUUUUCUGUUUAAAAUGGGCCCCAAACACAGUGCCGAAGACCUGAAGUGCUGUCUAGUAUCCCCACGAUCAAGAAGGCUGUGAUGUGUCUUAUGAAGAAAAUUAUGUGUUUAAAUAAGCUUCAUUUGGUAUAAGUCGUAGUGCUGUUGUCUAUGAGUUCACUGUUAAUGAAUCAACAACAUAUAUUAAAUAAGGUGUCUUUAAAUGGAAACAUACCUAAAACAAAGUUAUGUUUUGAUUGGUUGAUGAAAAUGCUGUGCCCAGAGGCUCACAGGAACCUAGCCCUGUAUUUCCCCUACAUCCCCUAAUCGCAUUAGAAUAAAUCAGAAAGCUUGUAGCCCAACCAUGAUUUCCAGUUGCAUUCUUAUCCUUUUCAUCAUUAUCUUCUGAACCCUAACGUCUUUUCAGUUUUGUUGUCAAAGUUCAGCUCCUAGGGCUUAGAAAAUCUUGGCUGCUGGCUUGUACCAGGCUCCACUGUAUAGGGUUUCACCAAGUUGCCUAUAAGAAGAUAUCUGCAGAUUGGUUCUUCUUAUUCUACAAGGCUUGAGUAUUUCCAAACUCUGCCCUAGUUAUCAAGACAUUAGUCUGCCCUGAAAUAUAAGAAAUAGGCUGACACAAAUAAGAAAGAAUGACAAUACCAAGUGUUGACAAAGAUGCAAAACAACUGGAAUUCUAAUACUUUGCUGGUGGGAAUGCAAAAUGGUUCAGUCAUAUUGGAAAACAGUUUGGCAGUUUCUUAUUAAAUUAAACAUACACUUACCAUACGACCCAACAUUUUCACUUCUAAGUAUUUCUUCAAGAGAAAUGAAAACAGUUUUCUACUAAAGACUUGUAUGCAGAUGUCCAUGGCAGCUUUAUUCACAAUUACCCCAAAUUGGAAAUAACCCAAAUGUCCAUGCAAUGAUGAAUGGGUAAACAAAUUAUGAUAUACCCAUAAAAUGGAAUACUACUCAGCAAUAAAAAGGAAUGAAAUAUUGAUACCAGCAGCAGUAUGGAUGAAUCUCAAAAACAUCAGAUUGAGCAAGGGUAAUUGGAUCUAAGCAAUUACACACUGAAUAACUCCAUUUAUACGAAACUACAAAAGACAAACCUAAUUUAAAUGGAAAGAAGGCAGAUGAAUGGUUGCCUGGGGCUAGAGGUGUUGAUGGGGGUAACUGGGAAGGAGGCAACAGAGCUUUCUGGGCUGAUGAAAAUGUUCUUAUAUUGUCAUUGUGAUAGUGAUUGCAUGGUUUAAUAAAUUAGCCCAAACUCAUCAAAAUGUACACUUAAAAUGAGUGCAUUUUAGUGUAUG